GAAGAUCUUUUGCCUUUCUCCACGUGAUCGCUGCCGUGUCAUGAAGAUGCUUCUUUGAGAGGGUCUCUACUAUAUUGCAAGACAAAAAUGUGAUGAGAACAGGAAAUCUGAGUUGGUUAUAAUUUACUUUUAAUAAGAUAAAUCAAGUAGAGUUCAAGCUGCAGACGUGCCGGCCAGUUUGCAUGUCCUUCACGCUUGAAGGUCACGGUGAACAUAACGUGUAAAACUGUCAAUGCCGUGGUGUAGAGGUUGGGUGAGAAAGACCCAUCCCCAGCAACGCCAACCUAAAGAAGGAAAG